rnacentral:piRNA from 1 species
UCCCUGGUGCUUUGAGAAAGAAAACCCUUU